rnacentral:rRNA from 1 species
GAUUCGAUUCCUACGGGAGGCACCAGUGGGGAAUCUUGCGCAAUGGUCUAACGACUGACGCAUCGACGCCGCGUGUGGGAGGACGCCUUUCGGGGUGUAAACCACUGUUGCCCGGGACGAACAGCGCUAUUCUUGGCGUCUGACGGUACCGGGUGAGGAAGCACCGGCUAACUCCGUGCCAGCAGCCGCGGUAAUACGGAGGGUGCGAGCGUUGUCCGGAAUCAUUGGGCGUAAAGGGCGCGUAGGUGGCCCGGUCAGUCUUUGGUGAAAGCGCGGGGCUCAACCCUGCGUCGGCCAGGGAUACUGCCGCGGCUGGAGCACUGUAUAGGC